UUCUUACUUCCUUCGUUCCAAAUUAUUCGUCGUAGAAAUGGAUGUAUCUAUAACAAAAAUAUAUCUAGAUACAUUCAUAUUUGUGACAAGUAAUUCGGAACGGAGGGAGUAUAUU
rfam:Triticum urartu cultivar G1812 contig959813, whole genome shotgun sequence.